AUACGGAGGGUGCAUGCGUUACUCGGAAUCACUGGGCGUAAAGCGCGCGCAGGCGGUCUUUUAAGUUGGAUGUGAAAGCCUACGGCUCAACCGUAGAACUGCAUCCAAAACUAUUAGACUAGAGUGUGGGAGAGGAAGAUGGAAUUAGUUGUGUAGGGGUAAAAUCCGUAGAGAUAACUAGGAAUACCAAAAGCGAAGGCAAUCUUCUGGAACACUACUGACGCUGAGGCGCGAAAGCGUGGGGAGCAAACAGGAUUAGAAACCCGAGUAGUCC
rnacentral:rRNA from 1 species